rnacentral:rRNA from 1 species
GUGUACGGCCAUGCCACCCUGAACAAGCCCUGAUCUCAGAAGCUAAGCAGGGUUGGCCCUGGUUAGUACUUGGACAGAAGAUCACCUAGGAAGACCAGGUGCUAUAGGUG